GCAAAGAUAGCUUAACAGAUAAAGCAAAGCACUGAAAACGCUUAAAUAAAGGUUUGAACCCUUUUCUUAGCA
rnacentral:tRNA from 1 species